rnacentral:lncRNA from 1 species
AAUAAAAAUACUUUCUUUAACAAAAACAAACAGUAUUUUCUUAUAAGGCAUCAAGCCAAUAAUAAUGUCCUUUCAUUUAACAGAUCAGCUUCUGCUGUGGAAAUGGAGCCUUGGAGUGGUGUGCAUGAUAAGAUGUUGAGUAAACCUGCAGGAAAGGAAGGCCCAUCAUUCAUUCACCAAACAGAAACAUACAAGAGAACAAAGAGAGCCUAGCGCGGGGUGGUUUCAUAUUUUACAUGGAAAGAGGCUACAAUUACGUGUGUGGUCAGGUCAGUUCCAUGGCCCCUGUUCCCUACUCUUUACUCUCUUCCGCUGACCCAGCAGAGGAUUCUCCCCGUUAGGCUGUUUGCCGUGGGAAGGUUGAACUAUGUCUUUUCUGAGUCCUCAAGACCUAGCACAGUGACUGGUACAGAGCAGGCAUUGAAAAAAAUGUUUGCUGAAAGCUUAACGCAAGGGGUGUAAGGGAGAAGGGAAAAAAGAAGAGUGGGGAAAGGAAAGCAAGAAAGGAAAGAAGGAAGAAUAAAGAAAUAAAUCAAUGUCAAUUAAAAAAGAAGAAAGAAAGAGAAAGAAAGAAAGAAAGAAAGAAAGAAAGAAAGAAGAAAGAAAGAAAGAAAGAAAGAAAGAAAGAAAGAAAGAAAGAAAGAAAGAAAGAAAGAAAUGUCUUUUAACAACCUAAACGUCCUGGCCUAGACCCACAGUGGAAUCCUUCUACCUGUGAAUGUACCCGCUGGGACCUCUAUCUACUAUGGACUCCAAACGCCUAAGAGUUGCCUACUUUGGGUUUUUCUGCCCCUUCUGUUCCACCUACUUUGCAGACAGAGUUCAAACUGAAAUGCAGAGAGGAUGGAACCACAGAAUCAACAGUUAGAAGACUAGAGUUAACUCAGAUCCUGUCAAGUCUACCACAGAGAUACA